rnacentral:misc_RNA from 1 species
GGAGUGGAUUAAUCACUUACUCUGUAAUCAUAACUCCAUCCAGCCUUUUUGGUCAUGGUUUGAUAGAAUCGGUGUGUUGCCAGCUUUGCGGAAUCAAUGGGCCUGCCCCUGUAAAUCAGAGCUGGACGAGAUACCACACACCAAUUACAGCACUGACCAGGCCACAGGUAAUAUAAUGAAAUGACAACAUCUUGUGGCCUGUUCCUGGCUAUCUGCUGUCCCUAGGAACCCUGAUAAGGUUGCCCUUGUGUGCCUAACUCCAUUUGUAUGACAAGAAGGAGGGUCGUUAAGCAGAGUUGGACCAAUGGUUUAAGGAAGUCACGCGAGGAAAUGGGCCUGGGACUCAUUGCUACCAUAAACACCAGUGCUAGGGAAGUACUGGAGAAGGAUACAUAGGUUUAAAGUUAGAUGUGAUACAUUUAUGGAGUUUAUUAGGGAGAGACCAUGGAGCUGUAACUCAGCCAGCACACUUUAUCAUGGACAAACAAUGUUAAUAUGACAUUCAAGGGUCGUAUUUGUAUUGUAUCAAAGAGAAAGUUGUAAUAGUCUGUGCUGUCAUUGUCAGUGGACAUUUACCCGCCGGUCAACAAAGUGUUUGUCCUCUUAUACAAAACCAGCAUUUAAAGGCCCGAACAGGUAAUUGCUGUGCAUAUGUUACAAGUAUAAGUUGGCUUCGGUGGAAUGUAUCUAAGAAAAGUGGUGGUCAUGUGGUAGGAAUUUACACCUGUGCUACAGGUGAGAAGACGACUUGUGACAAACAGACCUAAGUGGCAUCUGUUGAUUACCAUAGUUCUGGUUCACUGUUCUGCUGGUAUGUGUCUGGGCCUGAUGUAGCUAAUGAAUAAAUUGAUGUUACAUCAGCAGGUCGUGACAGGAUGCUGAUGUUUUAGGCAGAGUGUUUGUACUGAUCAUCUUGUCUGCUGCCUCCUUAGCAUGUGACCAUCCACCUGGACAGGUGUUGUCUGCCUGCUGAGAGCAGAACUCCAUCAUACCAUAUGACUGUAUCACACUUUACCUGACUAGCUGAUUCAGAUCUUACUGUUUCCAUGGAAUCAAAAACAGAGCUAAAUAUGGAUAAGAUUUCUCUUAUUCCUGAAAAUUUUAUAGCUGCUGGGAUUAAACUGACGCACAAGUGAUCUGAUUCUUGGUGGAUAGUACUACUGUAUGAUGAUAACCACAGCGGUAUACCAGGAGAAUCAGUGAGAAAGAGUCCAUGGUGUGGUCAGGGGUUUGUUGGGAUGGGGACAGAUGUACUGGUGAGAUAUGUGCCCAUGUCCUACCCCAAAGACAAUCGUGAAGUGCGCAGUGCUGAAGUUAGCUGCAUUAGCAGGGGAGGGCUGGAUCGCGCCCGUGUCUCCCUCCCCUUGUACAAACGGCACUAUGGCCUCUCUAAGGCCAUUGUCUGUGUCAGUGCCAAGAUACACAGCAGAAGAAGAGGCUUGGCAUCCGUAGUACCAGGUGUCCUUGAUAUCAACCAUAUGGGCCUUCCCCCAGAUUAUCUGUCCAGUGUAGAAAACGCUAUCACAAACUACCAUGGAACACCAAGCAGCAGUGGACGGUCAUCUCCCACCAUCACAGAGACACAAAGCAACGCUUCAAGUGCCCACGGUGGCUGGACGACGGGCAACACAACGGAGAGGAGCUCUACAGACUCAAACUACUCAUGGGAUGAGUUUGACAAACAGGCAGCCAAAACUGUACAAUGCCUGUUUGACCAGAUCGACUCUAUGCUAUUCGAGCAGAAUGUAGAAGGACCAAGUUAUAUACUCAAAGAGUGCAAGGAAUGGAAUCUCAAAUUUCCUCAUUUACGGAUCCUGGGCAGCCAACUGUUCCAUCCACAGGACAUGGGGUUCCAGGCGAUAGAGAGAGAAGGUUCACGGCCGUCCACGGGCAGUAUGGGACUGGUGGAUAUCACAGACCAGGAAAUGGUCACCACGCAAGACAUACACAGUCUAACACUGUCAGGACAGCGUAUACGACCCCAGCAGCCCCCUCUGGAGGCCCGAUCCUACCACUCGGGUAUGUCAACAUCGAAUUCCACAUCUGAGUACACACACUUGGAGGAGGAGAUCUUCAGCCAGGAGGGCGAGUAUGAGGAGAUCAUUGCCAUAGACUACGUAGACAUAUAUGAUGAUGAUUAUAACCUAAAGAAGCAGCUUACGCCCCGGCGCCGGCGGGUCGGCUACCCACCCAUCACCCCUAAUGCUUGUGUCAAGGAUGCAGUAAUGAGCUCAGUAUUUGACAAUAUGUGGCAAGAGAUUUUAGAAUGGAUGAGGAACAUCAACCGGCAGUAUUCAAUCCUUGUACUAGAGGAAAGUAAACCGUCCCUCCCUGUAGCCGAUAUGACUUUAAAUAUAUCCUCAUCUAACCACAUGCAGCUGCCUCCAUCCCGGGAACCCUCCUUCUACAUACACAGGAUGCCAAGAUCCUACACAACAAUGGGCGUGUCUAAGUUCAGUACACCACAACUGGAUGAACUUCUCCAGAUCUCACGGAAAGAUCUUAUUACUAGGGAGAAAUCAUUGUUACAUGACCCGACAGAUCCUCUUACUGCUCGGCCAGCCUCUAGUAUUCAGCCAACCCACAAGAAUCAGAAUCGGCCGAACACAAGUAUAACGGCAGGGGGCAACAAAUUUAUAUCAGGCUCUCGUGGCCUGGCCAAUUCUAGGUUAUUACGACUGGCCCCUCUGGAUCAAAGGUCACGCACCCCUAAUGUGGAUGAUGAGCGGACAGGUCCCAAUGGUGCUCUCAGGGUCACACGAAUCACUCCUCAAAACGACCUCACCUUCCAGAGGAAUGGUGCUCUUCCCCCACUUACCUCCGAGAUUGAGCCAAGUCCUUCAAUUUCACGAACACAGCAGAAAAUACACAGUGCCAGUAAUAGGGCCAGCAGUGCGGUGGACAAGGACAUCAGGGCUCCUCACCGGAACCAGUACAUUAUCCCUGUCGACACACGACCGAGCACCACCCAUGCGAUGAGGUCGGACACACCUUUAGGCCAGGCCAGGCGGGCAUCCACGCCCUUUGGAAUCAAUAAUAUCCCUGCCAGAACUUUAGGAGAUAGGGCGUUGCUGGGUAUACAUGGCAGUAGUAUCCAGCCGUCCAAUGACAUCAGUCAUCUUGGUCACAUGCAGCCAGAGAUACUGGAGGAGGGCCUGGACGACGUGGGAAGUUUUCCAAACCAAUGGACCCCCUCACCCCCAAGUCACCAUAACCCAUACCGAACCCUCAAGUCACGCCUGGUCAAGUCAUAACCAUAUCUCUGUUGGCGGCAUCUUGGCCGUCAGCGGUCAUCGUUGUGUAGGACAUAUGGACUCAUCUACAGAAUUAGUGCCAAAUUUGUGAAUAGUGACUUAGCCUGUAUAGUGGAAACUGGUGUGACAAUUCCCCCACAACCAUGUACUGGCCUCUAGGAUCAGUCCUUUCACAACCAGGAGCUAGUGUCAAGGUGUGGCUGCCAACAAGCAGGUACUGGUGUCAAGGAUCAGCUCACAGUCAUGUACUAUGCCUGGCAAGGAGCAACACACAUCAGGAUCAGCUCUCAACCAGGUACUACUGUAGACCUGGUGGCAAUAAUCAGCUCACAACCAGAAACUGAGGUGUGUAGGCCUUGUGGCAAGAAUCACAACCAGGCAUUAGCAUGGCCUAGCAAGGAUCAGCUCAUGUUAAAAUCAGCUGUCAACCAGAUACAGGUGUAGGCCUAGCACGGAUCAGCUCACAUCAGAAUCAGCUCUCGACCAGGUACAAGUGUAGGCCUAGCACGGAUCAGCUCUCAACCAGGUACAAGUGAAGGCCUAGCACGGAUCAGCUCACAUCAGACUCAGCUCUCAACCAGGUACAAGUGUAGGCCUUGCACGGAUCAGCUCACAUCAGAAUCAGCUCUCCACCAGGUACAAGUGUAGGCCUGGCACGGAUCAGCUCACAUCAGAAUCAGCUCACAGCCUGGUGAAGGUGUAGGCCUAGCACGGAUCGGCUCUCAACCAGGUACAAGUGAAGGCCUAGCACGUAUCAGCUCACAUCAGAAUCAGCUCACAGCCUGGUGAAGGUGUAGGCCUAGCACGGGUCAGCUCUCAACCAGGUACAAGUGUAGGCCUUGCACGGAUCAGCUCACAUCAGAAUCAGCUCUUAUCAGAAUCAGCUCACAGCCUGGUGAAGGUGUAGACCUAGCACGGAUCAGCUCUCAACCAGGUACAAGUGAAGGCCUAGCACGGAUCAGCUCACAUCAGAAUCAGCUCACAACCUGGUUCAAGUGCAUGCCUGGAAGUUUGAUCAGCCUAUAAUCAGCAGCUUUACUGUCUGACCUAUCAAAGUCACUGGACAACUUCACAUCUGGUUAGUUGGACAUGUUCACAUCAGAUCAACAAGACAACUAAAGUGUAAUCCUUGUCACCUAGAAAACUACACACAUGGACAUGCUGUCAUCUCUAGAAAAACCUGAGUUUGCUGGUCCCCUGGAAUACUGAUACUGACAAUAAGCCAGGACAGUGUGCUGGCCUGUGAUUGUUAACAUGUGAGCUCUAUAAGAGACUGGACUGUGGGCUUCACGGAAAGCUGGAUGUUCUGUUAUUGUUGUAGCCCAGGCACAAAACCAGGCUUUGUUAUAUUGAUACAGUGUAUAAUAGACUUGGUGUGUCUCUGGUGUAGCUUAACAUUGACACAAGUUUCAUUUGGAUACAUGUGCCAUAUGGCUGUGUAAGGGAGAUAACACUGCAACUCGGAAACAAUCGCCAACCCCCUAGACUGGAUCCAGGGUUAGACACUGUAGUAAUGGGAUGCUUAAGUGGACAUUUGCCUGGCAGCUGCUAAAUAAAUCACGGAAACAAUUUAUUUACUCAUUCUAACUGUCUGCAAGUUAAGGAUGAUUGUCAUAACUUAUAUCAGGUACGACAUAUAUUGAAAAAGACAUUCUGGGUGCCUUUUUUACAAAAUGAUCAUCAUAUCUAUUGUCUGAAAAGUGUUAAUUGAUUUUUCUGUACAUUUAAUUGGACAUGGACAUCAUCACCUGCAGAUGGCUCCUUGUGUAAUGCUCACUGUUUAGUGUAUAUUUAAGGAAUCACAGUGCGGUGUGAAUUCCAUGAAGAGAUAGGAGGAUGUAUACAGACGCUACUGGUCCUUGACUAUAAACACUUUUUGGUAGUUUGAACUGUUAGUAGGUUUGAAGAGGGAUGCAGACCCUCUUAUCUUACUGGACUGAUAUGAUAGCUGAACACUAAUAGAUAUAGUUAUGAUCACAUGUGAUAUACCGAAGUCCGUCGGAUUGUAUUUUUAUUGCUGGAAGAUGGGAGAGCAACGGAUUAGGCAACACCUUUUGGCUGUUAAUAUAAUGCCGAAAUUUGUAUGAACAAAUUAUGACUGAUGUUCUGUGAUAUGUGCUUAAAUUUAAGAAUAUUAUGUUUUUUAAGUUUUCUUAUUUUUAAUGAUCAUUUGUUUAUGCCUCAUCCUGUAAAUAUGUAAAUAGUGUAAAUAGUUGUAGUAGUGAACUGUUGUGAUCCUGCCCUGUGGGAGGGGCCGUGGUGUACUGCCCCUACCCAUGGCUAGAGACAUCAGUGUGCCCUUUCUUCCCAUGGGUGGGGCUGUGAUGUGCCCCUGCCUAUGGUUUGGACUUUGGAUAACUGUUGUGUUUGUGCCCUGAGGGCUGCAUGGCAGCAAGCCCCAGGUAAAAGCAUACUGUAGACAUAAUACUGCCUACUUUAUACCUCAGUGAUACAGCUUCUCACUCAUGUGUGUGUGUCACAGUGAAUCAGAAUGUUUGUAUGUGGGAGGGUUUGUAGGGAGGAAUGUGUUGUUGAGUGGGAUGUGUUGUAAGAGGAAUGUGUUGUGGAGUUGGAUGUGUUGUAAGAGGAAUGUGUUGUGGAGUGGGAUGUGUUGUAAGAAAAAUGUGUUGUUGAGUGGGAUGUGUUGUAAGAGGAAUUUAUGUGGAGCGGGAUGUGUUGUAAGAGGAAUGUGUUGUGGAGUGGGAUGUGUUGUUGAGUGGGAUGUGUUGUAAGAGGAAUGUGUUGUUGAGUGGGAUGUGUUGUAAGAGGAAUGUGUUGUUGAAUGGAAUGUGUUGUAGGAAGAAUGUGUUGCAGCAAGGUAUAUUUAGUAAGGGAGGAAGUUUAAGUGAGAGAUGCAUCAUGUUUUGUAGGAAGAACGUGUUGCAACAGACACGUGUUGUUGGUAAUAUGUGGUGUAGGAGUUAUUUGUUUUAGGGAGGAGUGUGUUGUUACAAUGUAGGGAGCUAUGUGCUGUAUGGAGAAGGAUUGAUAAAGAUGGAGUUGUGUUCGAGAGAAAUGUGUGGUAAGGAUGGAAGUAUGAGAGUUCCAUUGACUAUAAGAGCAGGGUCCAUUUAAUUUAUUUGUCAUAUCUUCAGAAUUUUCAAAGUGACGUGCUGUCACAAAUGUAUCAAACUGACACAUGCUUGCAAAUUUUUCAUUUAAUCUUGGAAUAAUCAGAUUUUUAUUAAAGUAACGUGGAUUGAGAAUGUACCUUAUGAUGUGGGGAGGAUACUUCAUUUAUUACAAUACACAUACAUUUUAUUUUGUAAAUGGCUUUCUCCUCCACACCUCUACAUGUGACCAAUACCUGCGAAACAUAAGGUUUUCUGACACCCUAAAUCGAAAACAGGCAAAGAGCAUUGUUUUUUUUAGAUUACAUUAUUUUGUUCAAUGGUAAGAAAUCACAUUUUUGGGAGUGUGGAACAUUUAAUUUCAAAUUUUUAAUUGAUAAAGAUAAGAGUUUUUCUUUAAUAUAUACCAAGCUAUGAAAGUUUUGCUCACUGUUUCUCAGGCAAGCACAAAAUGAUAUCUUGGCUCACAAAUCUCAGGUAUGUGUGAUAUUCUCAUAAGAUCAGGUUUCAAUAUGCCUUGUGUGUGUAAAUAUUUACCCAUCAUAGACCUCAUUUAUUCGAUAAUGCAAAAUUAAUUUUGUUACAAUUUGGUAGACUAUAUAACAAGGAAAACAAUGCUUGAUAUUUAAUAGCUUCAAAUUCUUAGUCAGGAGAAACUGUUGUUUACAUUUAAUGGGAGGUGAAGGCUGUACAUUGUCAGGUUAAUGAAGAGUCCUCUUAUUAUGAUUUUGAUUUUUUUUUAUGGUUUGAUCCACAACAACGUUAGAUGAAUGUAAAAGUUACCAAAGGUGAUUCGUAAGUUGAUUGAAGUAGGCAUAUCAUGAGAUCAUUGAAAGAUAACUAUUUGUAAACAAAAGUAUGUGGUAACAUUUUAGGGCUGCCAAUUUAAGAUCAUGACAUUUAAAUUAAGUUUAUAUGUAAUUUAUAUAUUGUGUACUUCAAAAUAGUACCAAUAAGAGAAAAUGUUGGUUAUAUCAAGGCAGGUAAUAAUUUGACAACUUUGUUACCUUGGAAAUGUCUCAAGUUAUCCUUGUAUCCUUGGAAAUGUCUCGAGUUAUCCUUGUAUCUGGAUAGCUUAUGUUGAUGCAUCCAGGUAUUAUCUGGUUUCGAUGCAUCAAGUUGUUCUUGAAUACCUUGUGUCGAGGUGGCCUUGGAUACCUUGUGUCGAGGUGGCCUUGGAUACCUUGUGUCGAGGUGGCCUUGGAUACCUUGUGUCGAGGUGGCCUUGGAUACCUUGUGUCGAGGUGGCCUUGGAUACCUUGUGUCGAGGUGGCCUUGGAUACCUUGUGUCGAGGUGGCCUUGGAUACCUUGUGUCGAGGUGGCCUUGGAUACCUUGUGUCGAGGUGGCCUUGGAUACCUUGUGUCGAGGUGGCCUUGGAUACCUUGUGUCGAGGUGGCCUUGGAUACCUUGUGUCGAGGUGGCCUUGGAUACCUUGUGUCGAGGUGGCCUUGGAUACCUUGUGUCGAGGUGGCCUUGGAUACCUUGUGUCGAGGUGGCCUUGGAUACCUUGUGUCGAGGUGGCCUUGGAUACCUUGUGUCGAGGUGGCCUUGGAUACCUUGUGUCGAGGUGGCCUUGGAUACCUUGUGUCGAGGUGGCCUUGGAUACCUUGUGUCGAGGUGUCCUUGGAUACCUUAGGUCGAGGUGUCCUUGGAUACCUUGUGCUGAGAUAUCCAGAUGUCCUUGGAUACCUUGUGUCGAGAUAUCUCGAUGUCCUUGGAAACCUUGUCCUUUGAUACCUUGUUGUUUUUCCCUGGCCUUCACACAUCUACCAUGGUAUUGUUGUUGUGUUCUCUGUGGUACCAGCAGAGAAUGUAAUCUGAACCUUGUAGAUGAUACCAACGAAUUGUCAUUCAAUGAAUACACAAUGAUAGCAGUAAACAUAGACUUGGUCAGAGGCGAAUGUCUUACUGAGUAGUGUUUCUAAAAGACUGUUACAAUUCAUCUACAUAAUCAUGCUUCAGUGAGUAAAACCUACCAGUGACAGACUAUUUAUAAGGAGUGAGAGAUAGUGCUGUAUGUGCGAAGGAACAUUUAUUAUCAGUAGAUUUACCAUUUAUGUACUUUUUCCUUAUCGUUUUCCAUGUUUUAUGUGAAUGUUGUCUGGACAGUGCUAAGUAAGAAGCCAUAUUACAUUUAUGAAUGAAAAAUCUUACCUAUUGACCUCAAGUUCACCAUAACAUAUUCAGAUCUACCCAUUAUUCUGCCUUCAGACACUUGAUAUGGAUCAAAACUAACGACAAAGAGUUGGCAGUCUUGCACUUCUGUAGCUUAAAUAAUGUUUUGUGAAUUUGAAGUCUUUUCACAUCAAAAAGACAUCUUGACCCUGUUCCUAUCCAUAGUGACAGCUGAGGUGUUCCUGAAGAUGUCAAUAUUUUUUUUAUGAAAAUCAACAUUGAACGUGUUUCUAGGGAUUGAGAUAAUCGAAAUGAUCCCAGGGAAAUUGACAGUCCAUGUGUUCCUAGGGAUAAUGACAGUCUAGGUAUUCCUAGGGAUAGUGACAGUCUACGUGUUCCUAGGGAAAGUGACAGUCUGUGUGUUCCUAGGGAUAAUGACAGUCUAGGUAUUCCUAGGAAUAGUGACAGUCUAUGUGUUCCUAUGGAAAGUGACAGUCCAGGUUUUUCUAGGGAUUAUGACCGUCAAAGUAUUCCUAGGGAUAGUGACAGCCUAUGUGUUCCUAGGGAUAGUGACAGUCUAUGUGUUCCUAGGGAAAGUGACAGUCCAGGUGUUCCUAAGGAUAGUGACAGUCUAGGUAUUCCUAGCUAAAGUGACAGUCUACAUGAUCCUAGGAAUAGUGAUGUCAAGGUGUUCCUAGGGAUAGUGACAGUCUUCUUAAGGAUAGUGACAAAUAAUGUGUUCCUAGGAAUAAUUAAUAUGUUGAUUCUAACAGGUCCUAGUCAUACCAGGUUUACAAACACACACCUGUGUGGCUGGGUAUGUCAUUUCUGACAGUCUAAUACAGGAGAGAAUCUCAUUCCAAAUCAAAUAUUUACAUACGUCAUAUCUGGUCAGAUUGUAGUAUAGAUAAUAUAACUCUUAUUUUAUGUAAAAAAAACAGAUGUAUGUAUAUGUGUAUUUUUCAUUUUAUUAACAAUAUGUGAUUCUUUUAGGUAAAUGUGGGCUAACAGGCUGCCUCGGUGGCGAUUGGUCCUUGUGACAGCAGUAGGUGGUGUGUCGAGACUGGUGUAGGUACAAGAAACGUACCACCACCUCUAGGCUGGUUCGGGUACAAGAAACAUACCACCACCUCUAGGUUGGUGUGGGUACAGGGAAGGUACCACUACCUCUAGGCUGGUGUGGGUACAAGAAAGGUACCACCACAUCUAGGCUGUUGUGGAUACAAGAAACAUACCACCACCUCUAGGCUGGUGUGGGUACAAGAAAUGUACCACCACCUCUAGGCUGGUGUGGGUACAAGAAACGUACCACCACCUCUAGGCUGGUUCGGGUACAAGAAACAUACCACCACCUCUAGGUUGGUGUGGGUACAGGGAAGGUACCACUACCUCUAGGCUGGUGUGGGUACAAGAAAGGUACCACCACAUCUAGGCUGUUGUGGAUACAAGAAACAUACCACCACCUCUAGGCUGGUGUGGGUACAAGAAAUGUACCACCACCUCUAGGCUGGUGUGGGUACAAGAAACGUACCACCACCUCUAGGCUGGUUCGGGUACAAGAAACAUACCACCACCUCUAGGUUGGUGUGGGUACAGGGAAGGUACCACUACCUCUAGGCUGGUGUGGGUACAAGAAAGGUACCACCACAUCUAGGCUGUUGUGGAUACAAGAAACAUCCCACCACCUCUAGGCUGGUGUGGGUACAAGAAAUGUACCACCACCUCUAGGCUGGUGUGGAUACAAGAAACGUACCACUACCUCUAGGCUGGUGUGGGUACAGGGAAGGUACCACUACCUCUAGGCUGGUGUGGGUACAGGGAAGGUACCACCACCUCUAGGCUGGUGUGGGUACAAGAAAGGUACCACCACCUCUAGGCUGGUGUGG